GCCGGCUUGGCGCAAUUGGUAGCGCAUCCGACUUGUAAUCGGAAGGUUACGGGUUCAAGUCCCGUAGCCGGCUCAA
rnacentral:tRNA from 1 species